rnacentral:tRNA from 1 species
GCUGUGGUUCAGGGGGAAAGCUUUUGCUUUGCAUGCAGAAGGUCUGAGGUUCAAUCCCCAGCAUCUCCA